rnacentral:rRNA from 1 species
UUUCGAAUCAUUCACAAUGGGCGAAAGCCUGAUGGUGCGACGCCGCGUGAGGGAUGAAGGCCUUCGGGUUGUAAACCUCUGUCACCGGGGAAGAAACGCUUCAAGUUAACAGCUUGAAGCCUGACUUAACCCGGAGAGGAAGCAGUGGCUAACUCUGUGCCAGCAGCCGCGGUAAUACAGAGACUGCAAGCGUUAUUCGGAUUCACUGGGCGUAAAGGGUGCGCAGGUGGCCAGGUGUGUGAGGCGUGAAAGCCCGAUGCUUAACAUCGGAAUUGCACCUCAAACUACUUGGCUAGAGCAUUGGAGAGGGAAGCGGAAUUCACGGUGUAGCAGUGAAAUGCGUAGAUAUCGUGAGGAACACCAGAGGCGAAGGCGGCUUCCUGGACAAUAGCUGACACUCAGGCACGAAAGCGUGGGGAGCAAAAGGGAUUAGAUACCCCCGUAGUCC